rnacentral:rRNA from 1 species
UACGGAGGGUGCAAGCGUUGUCCGGAAUCAUUGGGCGUAAAGCGCACGUAGGCGGCUCUUUAAGUCUCUUGGUGAAAGGCUGGGGCUCAACCCCAUGCAUGCCGGGGAUACUGGGGAGCUGGAGACAGGUAGAGGCCAGCGGAAUUCCGGGUGUAGCGGUGGAAUGCGUAGAGAUCCGGAAGAACACCGGAGGCGAAGGCGGCUGGCUGGACCUGAUCUGACGCUGAGGUGCGAAAGCGUGGGUAGCAAACAGG